rnacentral:rRNA from 1 species
AUUGAACGCUGGCGGCAUGCCUUACACAUGCAAGUCGAACGGUAACAGGUCUUCGGAUGCUGACGAGUGGCGAACGGGUGAGUAAUACAUCGGAACGUGCCCGAUCGUGGGGGAUAACGAGGCGAAAGCUUUGCUAAUACCGCAUAAGAUCUAUGGAUGAAAGCAGGGGACCGCAAGGCCUUGCGCGAACGGAGCGGCCGAUGGCCGAUUAGGUAGUUGGUGGGGUAAAGGCCUACCAAGCCGACGAUCUGUAGCUGGUCUGAGAGGACGACCAGCCACACUGGGGCUGAGACACGGCCCAGACUCCGACGGGGGGCAGCAGUGGGGAAUUUUGGACAAUGGGCGCAAGCCUGAUCCAGCCAUGCCGCGUGCAGGAUGAAGGCCUUCGGGUUGUAAACUGCUUUUGUACGGAACGAAAAGCCUUGGGAUAAUACCCUGAGGUCAUGACGGUACCGUAAGAAUAAGCACCGGCUAACUACGUGCCAGCCGCCGCGGUAAUAC